AAGCAGCUGCGGCUAACUACGUGCCAGCAGCCGCGGUAAUACGUAGGCAGCGAGCGUUGUUCGGAGUUACUGGGCGUAAAGGGUGUGUAGCGGCUUUCCAAGUUUGGUGUGAAAUCUCCCGGCUUAACCGGGAGGGUGCGCCGAAAACUGGGAGGCUAGAGUGCGGGAUGGGAGAGUGGAAUUCCUGGUGUAGCGGUGAAAUGCGUAGAUAUCAGGAGGAACACCGGUGGUGUAGACGGCUCUCUGGACCGUAACUGACGCUGAGACACGAAAGCGUGGGUAGCAAACGGGAUUAGAUACCCUGGUAGUCCACGCCCUAAACGAUGCAUAUUUGGUGUAGGUCAUUCAGUUGAUCUGUGCCGGAGCUAACGCGUUAAAUAUGCCGCCUGGGGAGUACAGUCGCAAGGCUGAAACUCAAAGGAAUUGACGGGGGCCCGCACAAGCGGUGGAGCAUGUGGUUCAAUUCGACGCAACGCGAAGAACCUUACCUGGGCUCGAACGGCUUCCUAACGGCAGUGGAAACACUGCUAUCCCGCAAGGGAGUGGAGUCGAGGUGCUGCAUGGCUGUCGUCAGCUCGUGUCGU
rnacentral:rRNA from 1 species